AGAUGGAUGAGUUGCACAUUUCUAUGGUCCAGUGGAUGGUAAAUAUGCUGAUUAUAAUGGUUCCUGACUUUACUGACCAAAACACUCUUCCAAAAUUGGAGGAGGAAAGUGCUGAGAAACGAAAUAUAAGAGUUAUGCAGUUGGAGCUAGAUGCGACUGCACUGGCAAGAAAGUUGUCCCAGUACUCCACCUAUUUGAUCAGUUGUUGUAAAGGGAUGGUAACAGCAAUGGCUCUGACUCAAGCAGCACAGUCACAAAGUAAUCCUGCUAAGGAGCUUCGGGAGCUGGAUAGGAUGAAGAAUGAAUGUUAUGAGUGGAUCAACACAUGUACUCACCUCCUUUCUCAGAUCAAAGGCAGAAAAGUGAAGUUAUUGACAUCUGAAGAAAAAGAGAAACUACUUGAAGAAGAGGCUACAAGAAAAAACUCAGACAUCUCCUCCAGGAAACCUGCUUGA
rnacentral:lncRNA from 1 species